GAGUUUGAUCGUGGCUCAGAGUGAACGCUGGCGGUAGGCCUAACACAUGCAAGUCGAGCGGCAGCACAGAGGAGCUUGCUCCUUGGGUGGCGAGUGGCGGACGGGUGAGGAAUACAUCGGAAUCUACUCUGUCGUGGGGGAUAACGUAGGGAAACUUACGCUAAUACCGCAUACGACCUACGGGUGAAAGCAGGGGAUCUUCGGACCUUGCGCGAUUGAAUGAGCCGAUGUCGGAUUAGCUAGUUGGCGGGGUAAAGGCCCACCAAGGCGACGAUCCGUAGCUGGUCUGAGAGGAUGAUCAGCCACACUGGAACUGAGACACGGUCCAGACUCCUACGGGAGGCAGCAGUGGGGAAUAUUGGACAAUGGGCGCAAGCCUGAUCCAGCCAUACCGCGUGGGUGAAGAAGGCCUCGGUUGUAAGACC
rnacentral:rRNA from 1 species